AGUUAAAAAGCACACAAGAACAAGCCUGAUGUCUUGAAAACAUCAAGAAAGGAGUUUAAAUCUCCUAUUAACUU
rnacentral:tRNA from 1 species